CCCGCACAAGCGGUGGAGCAUGUGGUUUAAUUCAAAGCAACGCGAAGAACCUUACCAGGUCUUGACAUCCCCUGACAACCCGAGAGAUCGGGCGUUCCCCUUCGGGGGGACAGGGUGACAGGUGGUGCAUGGUUGUCGUCAGCUCGUGUCGUGAGAUGUUGGGUUAAGUCCCGCAACGAGCGCAACCCUCGACCUUAGUUGCCAGCAUUCAGUUGGGCACUCUAAGGUGACUGCCGGCUAAAAGUCGGAGGAAGUGGGAUGACGUCAAGUCAGCAUGGCCUUUAUGUUCUGGGCUACACACGUGCUACAAUGGCCGGUACAGACGGACGCAAAGCCGCGAGGUGGAGCAAAUCCUAAAAAGCCGGUCUCAGUUCGGAUUGCAGGCUGCAAUUCGCCUGCAUGAAGUCGGAAUCGCUAGUAAUCGCAGGUCAGCAUACUGCGGUGAAUACGUUCCCGGGCCUU
rnacentral:rRNA from 1 species